rnacentral:rRNA from 1 species
UACGUAGGGUGCAAGCGUUAAUCGGAAUUACUGGGCGUAAAGCGUGCGCAGGCGGUUUUGUAAGUCUGUCGUGAAAUCCCCGGGCUUAACCUGGGAAUUGCGAUGGAGACUGCAAGGCUAGAAUCUGGCAGAGGGGGGGUAGAAUUCCACGUGUAGCAGUGAAAUGCGUAGAGAUGUGGAGGAACACCGAUGGCGAAGGCAGCCCCCUGGGUCAAGAUUGACGCUCAUGCACGAAAGCGUGGGGAGCAAACAGG